UUCUGUCGAUAAAACCCAAAGAAAAAUACAGCUAUCUUGACAUUUGAUUGGAUAAGAAGGGCAAUCAUUCCUGGUUAGCGUUAACCUGCACAGGAACCCGGCCAGGGAAAGCAUGAUUUAUUCUCCUACUCAUGUUCUCCUGUGUAGAUAAAAUUGAUAAUUAUUUGAUUUUAAUUGAUAAUCAUUUGAUUUUAACUGAUAUCAAUUUUCUAAAUUAUUAUCUAUUGUUAUCAAAAAUUUAUACAAAUUGAUAUCAAUUGAUAAGUAAUCUAAUUGAUAGCAGUUGAUAAUCAAGUCAAUUUAACUAAUAUAAAUCGAUUAAUAAUUUAUUGCUGUGAUACCCCGAAUCAAAUGAUAAUUGAUACCAAUUGAUAGCAGGGUAAAUUUGAGUGGGAAUCAUUUGUUAUCAAUUAUUAUCAAAUUUAUCAACUAACCUUUGAUUAUAUUUUUUUUUAUCAAUUAGUUACGUUGGGAUUUAUUCACCGCUGCAAAGAAAGACUCAACAACGCAACUUUCGAUACGUCCAAAUGGGUUGACUUCAUCAAGACUACAUUACAGUAUAAAGACACAACUGCCACACAAAGCGUGGAUAGAAGGCUGGAUAACUAUCCGCUGAAUCGCUAUCAUUUACCACUAAAUGGCUUCCCGUUUCCAUGGAACUUGACUGGUUCAUGCCCGUGCUUAGACAUGUCUUCUUGAAUGGCCUGAAGGGAGAGCAAAACAUGAACUACUAAACACCAUUAGGGCAAUGCCUGGAACACAUGUUCAGUAAACAAAAUGACAUAGGGAACCAAGGAUUUCCAAUUGGUGAAGCAAUCAAGUCUAGGUCUCAAGAAAGGUAGUAGCAGAUUAGAUGUCUGUCCUUGCAGAUAAUAAUACUUGAAAACCAACAAAAUAGGCUGACCAAGACUGUGCUGUUUUUUCAGCCCACCUAACCCAACUUCAUAUGCACCCUUGUCUGUUGUCGCAUCUUUUGUUUAGGACAUCUGCAGUCUUCUCAAAAUGAUUAAUUAAAUCAUACUUAGCUACAAUACUGACACUUCACAAUGUACUGUUGUAAGACUUACCCUAAAAAAAUAGUUGAGGGAAAAGAUGUUGAGGAAGCCAGCUGCCUGAAAUAACGAAGAAGAACAACCAUUAUAAGACACAGUUUAGAUAUUACCAUUGGUAAGUCAUACUAUUUUUAACUUACCUGUACAUCAAGUAUUCUAAAUAAAUACUGAAGAGCCUGUAAAAGGAAAGGAGAAUAAAAUAAUCAUAUUCAAUUAAA